GAUGAACGCUGACAGAAUGCUUAACACAUGCAAGUCUUUGGCGAAGCUGUGCUUGCACAGCCUAGCCAAGGCGGACGGGUGAGUAACGCGUAAGGAACUUGCCCUGCAGUCAGGGAUAACAGACGGAAACGACUGAUAAGACCUGGUAAAGUCAGGCGGACUCAUGUCCAGCCUGAUGAAAAGAGAUGCUGCAGGAGAGCCUUGCGUCCUAUUAGCUUGUUGGUGGGGUAACGGCCCACCAAGGCGAUGAUAGGUAGCCGGCCUGAGAGGGUGGACGGCCACAAGGGGAAUGAGAUACGGCCCUUACUCCUACGGGAGGCGGCAGUGGGGAAUAUUGGACAAUGGGGGCAACCCUGAUCCAGCAAUUCUGUGUGCACGAUGAAGGUUUUCGGAUUGUAAAGUGCUUUCAGCAGGGAAGAAAAAAAUGACGGUACCUGCAGAAGAAGCGACGGCUAAAUACGUG
rnacentral:rRNA from 1 species